AUCCAGUCAGUUUACACAGAUCACUCUGAGUAUUCACUACAUCUCCAUUGUCUGAUUCUGACAGUUUUUACCUUGUUGUCUACUGCUGCAUUAAGCGAAUAUUACCAGUUCUGCUGUUCUUAAUCUUAAUAACCAACUGCUCCAAAGAACUGUAAAGUUUGUGGAUUUCUUUGUUGAGAUCAUGGACCUGGUUAGAGCUGAGGCCCAGACAUGUACUGUGCCAUCACAAGUGCUGGUUCACAGCCCCUCUCUCAAAGAUGCUACUUCCCAGCUCCCUCUCCCUGCUACAGUCACUGUCAGCAGUGAGCUGGUGGAGGAUCUGCUUGUCCAGCCAAUGCUGUGGCUCAGCCCACUGAGGAGCUCCAUUGGUGCACAGCUGGACCAGCAACAACUGCUGACGCUCUGUCUGUGUCAUACAAUAGUGCGGGACUCUUAUUUUACCAGCGAUAAAGGGUUUCCACUGUUAAAAAAUACAAUGCCAUGGGAGAACUUAUUUUACAGCAGAAUGCCUUUGUAAAUGAGACGGUGGAGCACAUCCACUUGUUAUUGCAAAAAGAGGCAGAGAAAUACUCCAAAAGCAGAGUCUUCAAAGCCUCAAAUGCCUUGAGGACCCAAAGUAAGAAGUGAAAGUGAACUAGGAACCACUAAAAUUGACACUGAGAGACGCUCUACCUAACACAAGGAUGACUAGAGAGGGACUGAUAAAGGAUGUUAAAGCUUCCUUGGUGGCCUGCAGCUUCAUAGCCACAAAGAUCCAAAAACACCUCAAGCCCACUGUGAGCUUUGCUUUGGAGAUGAGACUGCAAUGAUGAUCCUAACUGCCAGUUCCACACCUACAUCACUAACAGCGUCGCUGGUGAAAUUUGGAGAAUCUGUGAGGCGCUGCCAGGGGACAUGGACCCGGUGACUGGGCUGUACCAUGGAUAUAGAGAGAGAGAAAGACAGAGGGAGAUGGUAUUGGCAAAGAGAGAAACAUGUGUGUUUGGAGGCCAUGUGCUAUAAUCUCAGGAGCGGUUGUCUGAUGCUCACCAGUAGCCGUCUUCUUGUCCCACGUCAAUAAACUCGUCUGUGUCCGAGUCUGGGGAGCUGUAGUCAUGAGGUCUCUUCAUCUC